rnacentral:lncRNA from 1 species
GCACCUUCUCCUACUCUUGUCCUCAGGACCUGCCCAAGACCGCAGCCCCCCAGUACCACCCCUGCCUAGAGAACCGGGCUCUCAGGACACCCCUCCAGGACCCCAGAGGCGAGGUGGAGGUGGGCUGGAAGAGGUGGCCCCCCAGUUCUGACUGGAGCCACCUUCCUGGGCAGUCCCACUGGAAACCAGAGGUGGGAGCCUGGGCUCUGCAGGCAGGGCAGCUGGCUGCUGGGGUGCAGCCAGGCAGACACGAGAGAGGGAAGAGAGAGAAGAACCAGCCAGCCAGCCAAAGCUGACCCCCAGGUCCUCCCACAGCAUCAUGGCAGGGGGGUGCCCACCUGCCUCGUAACCAUUCCAAAUUCAGUAGUAAGGGAAGCUCCUUUCUCUGUCCUUAGUCUGUGGGGGGUUUGGGUGGGCCUCACUCACCCUUACCCAGGGGGUCAGCAGGGCACCCAGGCCUUGGCCAGUGAGACCAGUCUGUUCCCUUAGCCUCGAGGCCUUUGCUGAAGCUCACAGGGAAGGGGGAUUUCUCUGCUGGAAGGGGUGGACUGCCAUCUGUUGCCUGAAGAUGUUGUGUGGGAAGAGCUGGUCUGAGAAUGAAGCCAGCCCCUGAGAGAUGCAAGAAACCCGGCCGAGGGUUUGCUCCAAACGUCUGGAUCCAGCCUCGUCCGAAGCAAGGAGUCCCCGGAACUUCAAAGUCACUGGACGCAGAAAAACUCCUUUUGUGUGAAGUCGAAACACCAGCUUUCCAGCUGUUGAACGUCAGAGUCCCACCAGACGCAUGACCCACAGGCCCUAAGUAGGCACCACCACUGUCACCAACCCCACCUCCCACUGCUCCACCCUGACCCCUUCUCCGUUUUCUUUUUUUUUUUUUUUUGAAGAUUUUAUUUCUUUAUUGGACAGAGAGAGAGACAGCGAGAGAGGGCACACAAGCAGGGGGAGUGGGAGAGCGGGGCUGGACCCCAGGACCCUGGGAUCACGCCCUGAGCCAAAGGCAAACGCUCCACGACUGAGCCACCCAGGCGCCCCAGACCCCUUCUCUUUCUUAAAC